rnacentral:rRNA from 1 species
UCCCGAGCGUUNUCCGGAUUUAUUGGGCGUAAAGCGAGCGCAGGCGGUUAGAUAAGUCUGAAGUUAAAGGCUGUGGCUUAACCAUAGUACGCUUNGGAAACUGUUUAACUUGAGUGCAGAAGGGGAGAGUGGAAUUCCAUGUGUAGCGGUGAAAUGCGUAGAUAUAUGGAGGAACACCGGUGGCGAAAGCGGCUCUCUGGUCUGUAACUGACGCUGAGGCUCGAAAGCGUGGGGAGCGAACAGGAUUAGAUACCCUGGUAGUCCACGCCGUAAACGAUGAGUGCUAGGUGUUAGGCCCUUUCCGGGGCUUAGUGCCGCAGCUAACGCAUUAAGCACUCCGCCUGGGGAGUACGACCGCAAGGUUGAAACUCAAAGGAAUUGACGGGGGCCCGCACAAGCGGUGGAGCAUGUGGUUUAAUUCGAAGCAACGCGAAGAACCUUACCAGGUCUUGACAUCCCGAUGCCCGCUCUAGAGAUAGAGUUUUACUUCGGUACAUCGGUGACAGGUGGUGCAUGGUUGUCGUCAGCUCGUGUCGUGAGAUGUUGGGUUAAGUCCCGCAACGAGCGCAACCCUUAUUGUUAGUUGCCAUCAUUCAGUUGGGCACUCUAGCGAGACUGCCGGUAAUAAACCGGAGGAAGGUGGGGAUGACGUCAAAUCAUCAUGCCCCUUAUGACCUGGGCUACACACGUGCUACAAUGGCUGGUACAACGAGUCGCAAGUCGGUGACGGCAAGCUAAUCUCUUAAAGCCAGUCUCAGUUCGGAUUGUAGGCUGCUACUCGCCUACAUGAAGUCGGAAUCGCUAGUAAUCGCGGAUCAGCACGCCGCGGUGAAUACGUUCCCGGGCCUUGUACACACCGCCCGUCACACCACGAGAGUUUGUAACACCCGAAGUCGGUGAGGUAACCUUU